rnacentral:rRNA from 1 species
AUCGGAGGAAAAGAAACCAACAGGGAUUGCCUUAGUAACGGCGAGUGAAGCGGCAAAAGCUCAAAUUUGAAAUCUGGCACCUUCGGUGUCCGAGUUGUAAUUUGAAGAAGGUAACUUUGGAGUUGGCUCUUGUCUAUGUUCCUUGGAACAGGACGUCACAGAGGGUGAGAAUCCCGUGCGAUGAGAUGCCCAAUUCUAUGUAAAGUGCUUUCGAAGAGUCGAGUUGUUUGGGAAUGCAGCUCUAAGUGGGUGGUAAAUUCCAUCUAAAGCUAAAUAUUGGCGAGAGACCGAUAGCGAACAAGUACAGUGAUGGAAAGAUGAAAAGAACUUUGAAAAGAGAGUGAAAAAGUACGUGAAAUUGUUGAAAGGGAAGGGCUUGAGAUCAGACUUGGUAUUUUGCGAUCCUUUCCUUCUUGGUUGGGUUCCUCGCAGCUUACUGGGCCAGCAUCGGUUUGGAUGGUAGGAUAAUGACUAAGGAAUGUGGCUCUACUUCGGUGGAGUGUUAUAGCCUUGGUUGAUACUGCCUGUCUAGACCGAGGACUGCGUCUUUGACUAGGAGUGGC